UUACGGUCAUAUCACGUUGAAACACCGUUGCCCGUACGAUCACCGAAGUUAAGCAAUGUCGAGCCUGGUCAGUACCGAGAUGGCUGACCGCUUCGGAAUACCAGGUCCUGUAA